UCCGAUGUAGUCCAUCGGCUAGGAUAUCUCGCUUUCAUAGAGAACCGAGAAGAGCCGGGUUCGAUUCCCGGCAUCGGAA